rnacentral:rRNA from 1 species
CAACUUUUAACAACGGAUCUCUUGGUUCUCGCAUCGAUGAAGAACGUAGCAAAGUGCGAUAACUAGUGUGAAUUGCAUAUUCAGUGAAUCAUCGAGUCUUUGAACGCAUCUUGCGGUCAAUGGUAUUCCAUUGACCACGCCUGUUUCAGUAUCAAAA